rnacentral:lncRNA from 1 species
GGGUGUUGCAGUGCGGCGGGAGAAGCUGCGCGGGGUGAUUCCCUCAGCUGAUGGCCGGGGAGUUGCAAAAAUGGACAUUAAAUGAAGCUACUCGUUGCGAUAGGUUGGGAUCACAAACAUCCCGUUACCUCAUCUCAGCUAAAGGCGUCUGUGGAAAUGCUCUGUCACUGUAAUAACGAGUGAACUCUGUGGCUUCGUUGGCUGAAGCAGUGCCUAAAGGUUUAAAACUUUCAGCCUUAUAUUUAAGUGUAUUUCUGAAGGGUUCUUCACCAGUGGUAGAAGGGCAAUGUGAGCAGCCAUGAAUAGCACAUAAAUAGAAAGCACAGGAGCUGUACCAGGACAGCAACGUUAAAACCGCCUUCAGGAGGGCUUCGCAAGAACCAGCAGAGAGGAGCAUAAGCAAUGUUGGUAACUCCAAUGAUGACCAUCAGCCAGGGAAACCCAAUAGCUCGUACGAUCGCGCCGCCUGUUGAUGGACCUGCACAUUGAAACAUGAACAAAGGCUCAGGAGGCAGGAAAAGAGCAAAAGGUGCUCUUCUACUUUGGAGGGGGUCUGAAGUCUGCAGUGGCUGUCCUACAGACUCAGUUCCAGUUGCUGCCAUUAAACACUGGGUGGAAGAACACAUUGAGAACAUCACCCCAUACCAAUUGCAAAGCCCAUGCAGAAGGCAACAUCUGCGAUGGCAUAGACAUUGCCGUAGACAGAGGUGUGGCGAAGGUCCACGAGGUAACCCAUAAUAGGCAUCAUGGAGGAGUCCACCAUUCCUGCCCAGAGCAAGCACGAUAUCAUGAGGUAUUGCCUUUUCCCAGAGCAGUGCUGGGAAUUGUACAGACUGACCACUUACCUAUGGCGAAGCCAAGCCCACCAUUUGGGCCAAUCAGCCCAUAAAUAUUUUUUGCCAGAGGUACCUUAGAGAGGAAAGAGAGAAGGUGUGAAUGAGGCCAGAAGAGCUCCAAGGUGAGGAGGCACAGCAUAGUUCUGUGAGAAAGGUCUGUGGUGCCAUCCCUGAGCAGGUCUCAGAGCUGCCCUGCAGUACUCACACAGAGCAGACUGAUCCCCACCACAGCCAUACCGAUCAGGGAGCACAGCCACCUGCAAGGAGGGCAGCAGAGGGUGAUGCCUUCAGCAUAUGCAAGCAGGAUCCUUGCUGUGGUCGCUGCUGUUCGCUUACCGGCCUAUUUUGUUAGCCAGGAGCCCGAAGAGAUUGGUUCCAAUGAGAUGAUAUAAGAGAUAUUCAGCCCAUCCCGCAGUGCCCAGCAGGAUCCACUCUGGCCAAACUGCAUCAAGCUACUGCUGAGGAGCACGGACUGCAAAGUGAAGCACCUACCAAGCUGCCAUUUGGGGGAGCACAUGGUUUGCAUCAUCCAGAUGGGCAAGGUGGGCUCGAGCAUGGCCACCCCCAUGUUGGAGAAGCAGAGGGCUCCUGGUGAGGAGAGAAGGGAAAGUGUCUGUUUAAGGCUUCUCCUACUGCUGUGUUGAGUAGGAACAAGGAAAUGGGGCAAUUGGGAACGCAGAGGUUACCUGCAGCCACCAGCACAUAGGGGUCCCGCAGCAGGGUGAGCACUGGUGUGCCUCUGGUGCUCUGCUUGAGAUGGGGGCUUAGGGAGCUGCAGGUGGGGGCUGAGCCACCCCCACCUGCAGCAUCUGCCCCAGCAUCGUGCCCAUACUCACCUCAGGGGAGACCUUGGAGGGCUGCAGAAUGCACAGCUGCAAACCUGGGGAGGGGGGGGGAACAGUGCUGUCAGUAUUGCUCCAAGCCAAAUUUCCCUGUGGCUUUUCCUUCAGGGGGGCACCAAUCAUUGGCAGAGCCCCAAGAAUGCAAAGCUGUGCUGUUGGGGCAUCAUCCAGGGAGCUGUCAGCUGCGGGAUUUCAAAUGGGGCAUGGCCAAAAUGAGACAUGGAAAAGAAUGGGAUGAAAAAAAACAAGCUUCAAACACAG